rnacentral:rRNA from 1 species
UUUACACCAACAAGCGCCAGAGAAUUACGAGCGCAAGCUUAAAAUUCAAAGGAUUUGACGGUAUCCCACCCACCUAGAGGAGCCUGUUCUAUAAUCGAUAAUCCUCGAUACACCCAACCAUUUCUUGCUUUUCAGCCUGUAUACCUCCGUCGCAAGCUUACCAUUUGAAUGUAAUAAAGUAAGUUUAAGGAUYCCCCCAUCAACACKUCAGGUCAAGGUGCAGCCAAUGUAAUGGAAAGUAAUGGGCUACAAUUUCUAUAAUAGAACAAACGAAACWCUGCAUGAAAAACAGUCAUGAAGGCGGAUUUAGUAGUAAAAGGAGAAUAGAGAGCUCCUUUUAACAAGGCUCUGGGAUGUGUACACACCGCCCGUCAC